UGCGCAGGCGGGCUUGUAAGUCAGUGGUGAAAUCCUACAGCUUAACUGUAGAACUGCCAUUGAUACUGUAGAUCUUGAGUACGGUUGAGGUGGGCGGAAUGUGUCAUGUAGCGGUGAAAUGCUUAGAUAUGACACAGAACACCAAUUGCGAAGGCAGCUCGCUAAACCGUAACUGACGCUGAGGCACGAAAGCGUGGGGAGCGAACAGGAUUAGAUACCCUGGUAGUCC
rnacentral:rRNA from 1 species